UACGUAGGGGGCAAGCGUUGUCCGGAAUCAUUGGGCGUAAAGCGCGUGUAGGCGGCUCAGUAAGUCCGCUGUGAAAGCCCGGGGCUCAACCCCGGGAGGCGGGUGGAUACUGCUGAGCUCGAGUCCGGAAGAGGAGUGUGGAAUUCCUGGUGUAGCGGUGAAAUGCGCAGAUAUCAGGAGGAACACCAAUGGCGAAGGCAGCACUCUGGGACGGUACUGACGCUGAGACGCGAAAGCGUGGGGAGCAAACAGG
rnacentral:rRNA from 1 species